UACGGGGGGGGGCAAGCGUUGUUCGGAAUUACUGGGCGUAAAGGGCUCGUAGGCGGCCAACUAAGUCAGACGUGAAAUCCCUCGGCUUAACCGGGGGAACUGCGUCUGAUACUGGAUGGCUUGAGAUUGGGAGAGGGAUGCGGAAUUCCAGGUGUAGCGGUGAAAUGCGUAGAUAUCUGGGAGGAACACCGGUGGCGAAGGCGACAUCCUGGACCAACACUGACGCGUGAGGAGCGAAAGCCAGGGGAGCAAACGGG
rnacentral:rRNA from 1 species